rnacentral:rRNA from 1 species
UACGUAGGUGGCGAGCGUUGUCCGGAUUUAUUGGGCGUAAAGCGCGCGCAGGUGGUUCGCUAAGUCCGGUGUGAAAUCUCCCGGCUCACCUGGGAGGGUGCGCUGGAGACUGGCGGACUGGAGGCAGGCAGAGGUCGGUGGAAUUCCUGGUGUAGCAGUGAAAUGCGUAGAUAUCAGGAGGAAUACUGAUGGCGAAGGCAGGUCUCUGGGCUGAUACUGACGCUCAUGCACGAAAGCGUGGGGAGCAAACAGG